AGAUAGCAAAAGUAUGAACUAAUAAAACUUAGGGUUCUAUUUAUUCCUUUUAAACCUUUAGCCCAAAGAAAACAUGAUUCUUUUGAUAGCAUAAGGUCACAAUCCUCCCACCUCUUCAGUCCUUUGGCUUCUUUUCCUAAUAUUUUGGGACAACACAAGAUAAUUCAUUCUUAAAGCCCCUCUUUGUUCCAGACUCCCAUAAGACCCUCAGGUCUUAUAAGGCAUUUAUGGGCAAGUUAUUUUGAGUAAAGGGUAAGGAGACCCCAACAUGGUCCUUCAUUCAACUACUCAUGCAUUUGGCAAACACUUCACUUAGAGUUAAUCACAUGCAGAUGCUCAGAUGAGGAAGCACAGUGCCUGACUGCAGAGAACUCAUAGUUUAGUGGGGACACAGGGCCAUAAAAGGUAAUCAUAAUCCAAUGUGAUCAAUACAAAGUCCAGACUAUACAGGGUAUUAUGGGCCUACCGGGGAGAGAGCGUCACAGCUAUUACAGAGAGAAAAUUUGCCAUGCCCUAUUUACAACCUAGGAAGAAACAUGUGUCUCCACUUUCCUUAUUUCCCCCUCAGAGCCCUCGUUGCUCAUCCUCCAGGCCUGCUCUGUGUCUUAACCAAGCAUCUGAAUUAUGAUCGUUUUGCCUAGUAUCAGGAUGAUAAUUCACAGAAAUGAUUUGAGGGAUCUUAAAGUUUUUUUAACUGCAGCAGCCCUGUGGGAUCCCAGAACAGAGCUUGUUGAAUCUGUCUUUGCUUAUCUUCCAACCAAAAUAUGUUAUAAAAAAAUGGAAGUUGGCUCAGAUAAACUGAGGUAUCUGGUUACUUAAGGAAGAAUAGGAAACUAGCAAUAUUUUAAAAUAUUAAUGGAUCUGUUUUUGAAAAUGCACCAAAAUCUACAGCAAAAGAGUUUGUUAUUGAAUGCUCUGUUCUUCACUUUUGUAAGUCGAUGUAGAGUGCUACAUUCUACCUCAGGUGUAGAUAAAGGAAUUUUCUCUUUCUAGGACAAUGUCAUUGUGCGAUAGAAAAAAUACUCAAUCAUUAGUUGGGAGACAUAGAGUUGAGUUUUGGCUCUACCAUUAACUAGUAAGGUAAUCUUUGUCAAAUUACGUAGAAUCUUUUCUAUUAAAUGAAGUGGUUAGAUGAAAUGAUCCCCAAGUUUCCUUCCAGGUUUGAUAGGAUAGUCUCUGUUUCCCUGAGUCUCUGAUCUCAAGGGUGUUCGCCGAAGGUGUUUGGUUGAAAAGAUAGGCUCAAAGCAUAAGAAAUUAGUAUGAAGAUGUGUCACAAGUUGGGUUCUCUCAGAAGCAGGCUCUGAGAUGGAGCUUAUCAAGCAGGUGGUUUAUUAAAGAGUGCUCUUGGGAUGGAUCCCUGUGGAAGGGAAGGAAAGGAAAGGAAGCAGGACUGAGCAGAGUGACAAGUAGAGCUUUGAUGCGUCUCAAUGGAAAACACAGAUGGGAUAACCCUUCAGAGCCAUCCUGAGUCGAAGAGGGCUAGAACUCGAUACCCAUGUGUGUUGAGCAGUCGUUGGAUGCAGCCUGGAAUGAAGCAGCUCUCUUUAGCCAAAGUAAUCUCCAAAUGCAGCUAACAAUUGAGGACUUCCUGCCAACAGCUCUCCUGGUAGCUGGAAGAAUAAGUCCUUCAUUCCUGGAGGGGAAGAGGUCAUAGGAGUGGACGGAGAGAAUCAGUUGGUGAUUUCUUUUACUAUCAAGAAGGGAUUCCUGUUUAAGGAAGAAGAUUGAAUCUCUUAAUUUCCCUCCAAUCUGAAGCUACAUCUGUCCUAUCAUUCUAUACUAAUUAACAAUAAUAAAUAACAAUUGAAUUCUGCUCUGUGGUUUACACAGUGUUUUGAAAUAUGUUAUUUUAUUUGAUCCUCACAACUAACUUAUGUGACAGGCUUCAGCUGGUAUUGAUAGUCUUACUGUAGAGAUGAAGAACCUGAGAAUAAAUCUAAUAACUUGUCCAAAACCAGGAUGAGAUGAAAACAGACUGAAUCCAGGUCUGCGGAUUUCUGGUCCAGGGUUGCUUCCAUGAUGCCAGCAUCAACAGGGGGUCACAGGCUAUUGAGCAGCUGAUAAGACCUGGACUUUGGGCAGCCUGUCUUCCUGGAGGGUCUUUUCUCAGCUGACGCUGAGCUGCCGGGCAGCGCUGACAUCCAGGGGUAGGAAGCUGCUGGGCCCCUUUCCCAGUGUUUCAGUUAGUUCCCUGCAUUUCAGUCCCCUGUAGCUCACUGAGCCUGUGCAGAGUCCUGUGUAUAGACUGUCAGUGCAGCCUCUAAACCUGGUAAUUUUAUACACAGGGCAGCAGAGAUUGUUCCCUGUCACUUAGUGUGGAUUUAAGGUAAAGAGGAAAAGUCCGGGUAGGUGAAUGUGAUGU
ensembl:lncRNA